AUUGAACGCUGGCGGCAUGCUUUACACAUGCAAGUCGAACGGUAACAGGCCGCAAGGUGCUGACGAGUGGCGAACGGGUGAGUAAUGCAGCGGAACGUGCCCAGUCGUGGGGGAUAACGCAGCGAAAGCUGCGCUAAUACCGCAUACGAUCUCUGGAUGAAAGCGGGGGACCGAAAGGCCUCGCGCGAUGGGAGCGGCCGAUGUCAGAUUAGGUAGUUGGUGGGGUAAAGGCCCACCAAGCCAACGAGCUGUAGCUGGUCUGAGAGGACGACCAGCCACACUGGGACUGAGACACGGCCCAGACGCCUACGGGAGGCAGCAGUGGGGAAUUUUGGACAAUGGGCGCAAGCCUGAUCCAGCAAUGCCGCGUGCAGGAAGAAGGCCUUCGGGUUGUAAACUGCUUUUGUACGGAACGAAACGGUCCGGGUUAAUACCCUGGGCUAAUGACGGUACCGUAAGAAUAAGCACCGGCUAACUACGUGCCAGCAGCCGCGGUAAAAC
rnacentral:rRNA from 1 species